UACGGGGGGUGCAAGCGUUGUUCGGAUUUAUUGGGCGUAAAGCGCGUGUAGGCGGUUUAUUAAGUCUGAUGUGAAAGCCCUGGGCUCAACCCAGGAAGUGCAUUGGAUACUGGUAGACUUGAAUACGGGAGAGGGUAGUGGAAUUCCUGGUGUAGGAGUGAAAUCCGUAGAUAUCAGGAGGAACACCGGUGGCGAAGGCGGCUGCCUGGACCGAUAUUGACGCUGAGACGCGAAAGCGUGGGUAGCAAACAGG
rnacentral:rRNA from 1 species